rnacentral:lncRNA from 1 species
GAAGACACCAGGACCUUUUCAGUUAUUCUCACAUUUUGCCCUCAGGUUUCCAACCUGGACCAGCUCUAAGUACUACAUGUUAAAUGAGAGGCAUCUCAAGCAGAGAGAAUGAAGGAAGAGGUAAGAUUCAGGAUGGCGAGUUCUUGGAAAACUUUUACAAUCUAACACAGGAACAGGCACUUCUUGGAGUGAAUGAAAGAAUGAAUAUAUGA